rnacentral:pre_miRNA from 1 species
GAAAGCAUUACAGGGCGAAUCCUCUAUUGGCAGGAGAAUUUGAUGACUCUUUAUAGUUUAUUCAUCAUCAUCAUCCUCUGCCAAAGGAGAUUUGCCUCGCAAUUCUUCU